AGUGAACGCUGGCGGCGUGCUUAACACAUGCAAGUCGAACGGUAACAGAUAGAAGCUUGCUUCUAUGCUGUCGAGUGGCGGACGGGUGAGUAAUGUAUAGUUAAUCUGCCCUUUAGAGGGGGAUAACAGUUGGAAACGACUGCUAAUACCCCAUACUCCUUUCUACUUAAUGUAGAUUGGGAAAUGUUUUUUCGCUAAAGGAUGAGACUAUAUGGUAUCAGCUAGUUGGUGAGGUAAGAGCUCACCAAGGCAAUGACACCUAGCUGGUCUGAGAGGAUGAUCAGCCACACUGGAACUGAGACACGGUCCAGACUCCUACGGGAGGCAGCAGUGGGGAAUAUUGCACAAUGGAGGAAACUCUGAUGCAGCAACGCCGCGUGGAGGAUGACACAUUUCGGUGCGUAAACUCCUUUUAUAUGGGAAGAUAA
rnacentral:rRNA from 1 species